rnacentral:lncRNA from 1 species
UAUAAUCUUAAAUACGAAAAAGGAAAUAAUUGGUUGUUGUAAAUGCAUGCUUUGGAUGGUUCCUAUAUUUGUUGGUGUACUUGCAUGCCUGAUUGGAGGGAUUUAUGUCCAUGUACAAAGGAACGAAACUCCAGAUGAUAUUACGAAGACGCUUGGAGAUGCUGACAUCCAGAAGUUUGAGUUAUAGAAGAAGCUGUCAAAGCUUGAGGAGAGACAAGAAACGCUGCAGGUGACACUGGACAAACAGAAAGACCUGAUCAAUAAGCUACAGGAGGAAUUAAGAAGUAGGGAAAGACAGUUUACAUGAUUAUUUACGGGACGCAUGCGGUAGUUUUAGGUAACAAAUUUCCCAAUAAUAGAAUUUGUUCAAACUUUGUAUAUGAACACAGUGUCAUGUUAGAAACAGAAUAUGAAAAAAUAUCGAAUGCCAACAUGCUUGUUCAUGAGUUAUCUGCCCUUGAAUAUGUAAAUUUGAAGAAAAAUCCAGUUUUAAGGGCAGACAACUCCUAAACAAGCACGGUGACAUAUGAUUGUUUUUUGGUUCUUUUUACUUUUCUGUUUCUAACUCAUAUGCAAAGUUUGAAGAAAUUCUAUUAUUGAAUACCGUGUUUGGGAGCAAGAACUGUUAUAAUUUGAAAAGUAUAUAGAGCUAAAGUUUCUCUUUCCAUGCAUUUGGUAGAUUUUUGUCUGUUCACAACAGACCGUUAUCUUCCAUGUUAUAUAAUCAUGUUUAUUAUAUUUUAUAGAUACUAUAGUGAAAUAUAUUUAUGCUAUUCGGUGAUAUAUUUGAAAAAAUCAGUGAGAUAUAGUUUCAAGCUUUGUGUAUUAUUUCUAAUUUCUUCCGUGAGACGGGGUGAAAAUUGUAGUUGCGCUAUGUUGGUUAUAUUCUAUUUCUCGACUCAAAUAAAGAUACUUUACGAGAAUUUCAUAAUGUUAUGCUGUAAAUAACAAAUCGAAAUGGAACUUGAUGUCAUGUGCGUCUUUGUAACGCCACACGUCGUUUGACGUCAUUUUCGUUUACGCAAAUCUGUUUUUCCGCGUUGAGAUUAAAAUCUGUUGCUACUUGCAUGAAUGCGUUAGAGAGUUACAAAUAAUCAAAGGUAUAAGUAAAUGUCGGUAAUUAGUGCGUGAAUGAAAAAAUCUAUUGUUCAUACCUUUAUAGAUUUUUUAAAUCUAAUUUACUUAGUCUUGCGUGAAUAUUUGUACAUCGAGGCGUUACGCUGACGUGAUCAUGUUGGGCGGCCGUUGCGCGGGCGAAAUGAUUUAAUUUUUGUUAAAACCAUAUUAAACAUGUAAUAGCGAAGAUUUGUUUGUUUUCACAUUCAUGUAAAACGUAUAUAUCACAUGUUAUAAUUAUUAUUGAUAGAACGUGCGAUAUAUACAUCUUACAUUUGAAAACAAACAUAAUUUCUAUGUUUAUCCUUUAGUCUGAACAACUGCGCAAAUUGUUAUUGCGUUUUUAUCGAUUAUGAAAAGGCCUUUGAUACAAUAGCUUGGGAUGCUUUAUGGUACAAAUUGAUUGAAACUGGUGUUAGUAGUAAAAUGGUAACAAUGUUAAAGUCCUUAUAUCAAAAAGUGUCAGCCUGUGUUAAAGUGCAUGCAAAUUUGUCUGACUUUUUUGAUGUGUGGCUUGGAUUGAAACAAGGGGAACCACUCUCGCCCAUACUUUUUAUACUGUUCGUAAAUGAUGUAACAGAAAAUCUUGAUUUUAAUUCAUUGACUGAAACAGACCUUAACUUAUUGAGCAUAUAUAUGUCAUUAUUUGCGGACGACAUGGUGUUGUUUACCACUAGCGCACAAAGUCUACAGACACAGUUAGACAGCUUAUAUACAUAUUCCCUUAAAUGGGGUUUAAAGAUAAACGUUAAGAAGACAAAAAUUUGUGUUUUUAGAAAAGGGAGAACAAACAUUAAUUAUAGUUGGUAUAUUAACAAUGAAAACAUUGAAAUUGUAGAUUCAUUCUGUUAUCUCGGGGUAAAUUUCAAAUACAAUGGGUUGAUGAUAUAGGUGCAAUGAAAUCUUUGUCUGGCCAGGCAUUAAAAGCUAUAAAUAGUUUAUACUCUAUUUUCACAAGAAUUAAGUUCGAUGUUAAAACCAAGUUUUUACUAUUUGAUAGAAUGGUUGAACCUAUUUUACUCUACUGUGCAGAAGUAUUCGGUGUUUACAAGACAGAUGUUUUAGACAGAAUUCAGAUAAAGUUUUGUAAAAAGAUUCUAGGAGUUAAACCAUCUACUCCAAAUAUGGCUGUUCUGGGCGAACUUGGAAGAUAACCUAUAUCUGUUUUAUGCAAAGAGAGAGUUUUGAAUUACUGGGUGAGAAUUAAUAAAAAUAGGGAAUCACUGAAUGCAGAUGUAUAACAUUUAUCAAAUACAAUAUAAGGAGACAUAUAAUGCUGGAUGUUCAUUUUGGGCUAAACAGGUUAAGUCGCUUUUAGAGAGUCUUGGGUACGGGUAUCUUUGGAAUAAUUUUGAUGAAAAUAUUUCUUUUAAUGUGUUAAAAUGUCGUUUGAGAGACCAGUUUGUUCAAAAUUGGAGUGGUAGUGUCCAUAGUAUGUCUAAACUUGACUAUUAUGUUAGAUUAAAGAAUGAAUUUAAAUAUGAAAACUAUCUUGACAUUGUUGAGAACGAAUAUCUGAGAAAAUUGGUUAUCUUCGCAUGCCCUUGCAAUUGAAACUGGAAGAUAUGUGGGAAUAAAUAGAACUGAUAGGAUAUGUAGAAAUUGUAACUUCAACGUUGUCAAAUCUGAAUAUCACUUUUUAUUGACUUGUCCAAAGUAUAGCCAUAUUCGCACUAGAUUCUUACCAAAUACAUCGUGGCCAAAUAUUAACCUUUUCAAUAGACUGAUGUCUUCAAAUAAAAAGAAAACAGUAUUAGGAAUUUGCAAAUACCUGAAAGAAGCAUAUAAUGUAAGGAAUCCAGAUUUAUAAAUCUAUACUUCAAAAAACUGGGAAAGUGAAGAAGCUUUGUGUUGAAUUGUAUAAUUUAUAUAUGGUUACCACAAUUAUAUUUGAUAGUACUAUCUAAAUAUAUUGUUAAAUAUCUGCAUGUAUGUGCACAUUGUGAUUAAGAUAUAAAAUGUGUUGUUGUUUUAUUUUCUGUUCAUUAGCCAAAGGCAUGUUAUUGCCGAUUUUUUGCUAAUAAAUGUGUUGUUGUU